rnacentral:rRNA from 1 species
ACACGRCUCUCGGCAACGGAUAUCUCGGCUCUCGCAUCGAUGAAGAACGUAGCGAAAUGCGAUACCUGGUGUGAAUUGCAGAAUCCCGCGAACCAUCGAGUCUUUGAACGCAAGUUGCGCCCGAGGCCAUUCGGCCGAGGGCACGCCUGCCUGGGCGUCACGS